rnacentral:tRNA from 1 species
GCGGUUGUGGCGGAAUCGGCAUACGCGCACGUUUGAGGGGCGUGUGGGGAAACCCGUACGAGUUCAAGUCUCGUCAACCGCACCA